AUGAGUUGGAGGAAAUGUUUGAUAAAAUUUUCCUGUAUUCUCAGUGGGUUCUCACUGACAGGCUGUUCAAGGAAAAUUCAACAAAAAUGCCUGCCAUACCACGAAGAGGCAAACAGCCAGAGGAAAGCACUGUCUUAGAACCUGGCUCACCUGAUUUUGCCGAUGAGUCAACUUUGAAGUGUGCCUCAUUCUGGAAAGUGAAUCACGUAAUCACAGUACCUCGCAUUAUCCUGACACGUCCUUCGGCUUCUGAGGAUACUGACCCAGUAUUUCAAGGCUGAGGUGACUCUGAGACAGAAGACGGAGCCAGUGGUGAUGUCCUCCCUUAUUCAGACUCUUUGAAUAAUGCUUUUUACUCACCUAUGGACUCUGCUAGAAAGACACUUUAAUAUUUUUGCCAUUUAUAUUUUUCUGUUGUUGAAAGAUAAUAGAAACCAGUGCCUUAGUUGGUUUAACAAUUCAACAAAGUUGUUUUCAAAAGAAGAAAGAAAAUGUAACUCCAUUUAGGUUGUCUUUCAUUUGCAAAUACUAACUGAAACUUGAGUUAGGGAUUGUCUAACUUGGAAAGAGUAUUAAUAAAAUGAAGUCAUUGGCAUAUUAAAAAUGUCCUAAUGUUCACUUUAAGUGUAUUUUUAAAAACCUCACAGGCAAUGGCAUGAAAGAAACCAAGGAGAUGUUUACAUUCAUUAGUUCCACUGGAAAAAAAUGGUUAAUGUAAUUGUAUAGAUUUUUCCCUUCUUGUUUUGUGUGCUGUAUAACCCAGUCUUUGCUUUAUGUACAAAUACCCUGGUUUCUAAAUGCUACUUAUUUUCUUCAGAAAUAAAGUAUGCUUUUAAUUUAGUGAGUAACUUUAUAUGUAUGUGCAUUUGUUUGGAAGAGAUAGUAAGUAAUAAUAAUUUAAUUCAUGUAGGGCAGCCUUUUCUUCUAAG
rnacentral:lncRNA from 1 species